AGCGAACGCUGGCGGCAGGCCUAACACAUGCAAGUCGAACGAACCUUUCGGGGUUAGUGGCGGACGGGUGAGUAACACGUGGGAACGUGCCUUUAGGUUCGGAAUAACUCAGGGAAACUUGUGCUAAUACCGAAUGUGCCCUUCGGGGGAAAGAUUAAUCGCCUUUAGAGCGGCCCGCGUCUGAUUAGCUAGUUGGUUGAGGUAAUGGCUCACCAAGGCGACGAUCAGUAGCUGGUCUGAGAGGAUGAUAGCCACAUUGGGACUGAGACACGGCCCAAACUCCUACGGGAGGCAGCAGUGGGGAAUCUUGCGCAAUGUGCGAAAGCCUGACGCAGCCAUGCCGCGUGAAUGAUGAAGGUCUUAGGAUUGUAAAAUUCUUUCACCGGGGACGAUAAUGACGGUACCCGGAGAAGAAGCCCCGGCUAACUUCGUG
rnacentral:rRNA from 1 species